rnacentral:rRNA from 1 species
GAUGAACGCUGGCGGCGUGCCUAAUACAUGCAAGUCGAGCGAACAGAUGAGGAGCUUGCUCCUCUGACGUUAGCGGCGGACGGGUGAGUAACACGUGGAUAACCUACCUAUAAGACUGGGAUAACUUCGGGAAACCGGAGCUAAUACCGGAUAAUAUAUUGAACCGCAUGGUUCAAUAGUGAAAGACGGUUUUGCUGUCACUUAUAGAUGGAUCCGCGCCGCAUUAGCUAGUUGGUAAGGUAUCGGCUUACCAAGGCAACGAUGCGUAGCCGACCUGAGAGGGUGAUCGGCCACACGGGAACUGAGACACGGUCCAGACUCCUACGGGAGGCAGCAGUAGGGAAUCUUCCGCAAUGGGCGAAAGCCUGACGGAGCAACGCCGCGUGAGUGAUGAAGGUCUUCGGAUCGUAAAACUCUGUUAUUAGGGAAGAACAAAUGUGUAAGUAACUAUGCACGUCUUGACGGUACCUAAUCAGAAAGCCACGGCUAACUACGUG